GCUGUGGGGAAACAGCCCCAAAAGGUGACAGCCUUGCACAGGAGGUGAUGUUGGGAGAUGAAAUGUGUCUGCAAAUGUUUCUCUGUGAGGCAGAGAAAUGGUUGUGACUCGGGAAAGCCGCGGAUGUGUUUGUGAUCAGAGGCAGGCCGCGCAUUUCUGCCGCCCACCACACCUUCAGCCAGACAGGAACAAAGGGAAGAACACUCCUCUAACUCCCCAAAUCCUCAGCUCUGCCAGGUGGAGGCUUCUGAUGAGGAGGAAGAUUUUCUCAUUUUCAGACAAGGGCUUCUGUAUUUCCAUUUCAACCACUGUCAACACCACAUUGGAACUGGACCUGCCAUGGCCACCCAGCUGGAAGGUGUGGAGUUUCCACCCCAUCAUCUCCCCUGAGAGUGGCUGAAGUCUCCAUCCAGAGGCAGAGGAGAGCAAAGGCUUUGUCCUAAGGAACAGCUGAUAAAGUCUUUUAAAAGAUUCCUCCGGAAACCAACCCUGCUCGGUAGGAAGGCUGAGCGAGCUUGCAGUGAGAAAUCCAUUUAGAAAGCCAGGUUUGGAGAGCAGCCAGGGAGAGAUAAUGGUACCACUUGCCCCCAGACCCCGUCAGCGCUGCACAAUUCCCUGAGCAGGGUUUGCCGACUGCUUCGGAUCAAUCCGUUGAUCAAAAGCGAUGUCAGCUUCUUGCACUACACGCAGCCUCCUGGGCAUCCCCUCAUCCCUUCCUAACCUGGGCUUCCAAGGACUCAGAUGAAUAAAAUUUGGGUAGAGAGUAGAUGGGAUUUUUUUUUUUUGUUUUUGUUUUAGAAAUUAAUGUUUUAUACGUGGAAGUGAUUUCUGUGAAUCCCACCCGGUUCUUUGUUCCCACAAACUCACUUUCCUCGUUGCUUCAAACACUCCAUAUUCCAGUAACCAGUUUUUCAAACCUUCUAACAGGUGCUAGUACAUCAUGUUCCCUCUCUGUCAUUUCUCAUUGUCAUCUCAUAUCGUUCAUCAAAGGAUGAGAGGGAACAUUGUCUGCAGGCCAAGGAAAUCAUCCAAUCUAACCCUGCCCCAGCUAAUGUGUCACUUUUGGCCUCAGGAAAAUCACAUCAUCAGGAGGUGACAGAAGUGGCCUGGCAUUCUGAGUUUCUCAAUUUUUUCUGAAUGCCUGUCACAUUUUAAAAAGCUAGUCCUAGCUCAGCUGCCUCCCCCUUGCAAAUGGAGAUCCUGAAAGCUCCCUGGAUCACGAGAGAGAGUUAAUAUUUGUUCAGUGCUUUCAAAAUGUUAAGUGCAACAUGAGUGCUGAGCCUUAUUACCAGAAAUAAUGGAUGUUUGCAACUCCAGCCUGCGCUCUUCUGUGUAAUCAUUAUUCUAAUAAGUAACAGCUUUACCAGAAUAUAGUCCCAGAAAACAUCUUUGGAAAAUGCUCUUCACUUUUCCUGUGAGCUUGAACACAGAUUUAAAAUCACAGAUCUGUUGGAGUUGAUAUAGUUAAACUUUAUUGACUUUCUGGGAAUGAUUCAUCCCUGACUUGUUACAUCCAGAUUUUUGUUUCAUCAGUUUUAUUCGUAUUUGUCAGAAAGUUUUGUAAACUGAGUUCGUAAUCUCAUUUUGAGUGUAGAUAUCAAAUAUAUGAAAAAUAUACCAGUAAACACCAAUGAAAAUACCCCACAACCACAUAAAACCUCGUACUCUUGGUUAUUCCCAGGUGUUGCAAAGAGGAGCUUCCCACAACAGUGAAGUCUAAGUUGACUUUUAUUUUAUAUUACUUUGUACAACCCUUUCCCUCAGCUGCUUUGGGCUUGACUGUAAAAUUUGCCAAGAUAUCCCUGAGUCUGUUUAUAAGAAUUAAAGCCCCGUUUGUGCAAGGAGCUGCUAAAAAAUUAACUUGUGUGUGCUUCUGGAGUUAACAUUCACAUGAGUGAGGGGAUCUUCCACCUGUUAGCAAGUACUUUAGCUGGGAAUAAAAAAAGCUUAGAUUUGAUGAAAUUUCUGGCUGCAGAGAGUUGGUGAAACCUGCAAUGACCAAGAAGAUUUCAGCUGCCUCAGUCCUGCAGGAAUGAAGACCAUGGGAAGGGUGAGGGGUAAAAAAAAACCUGUGGGGAAAGAGCUCAUGAGUCGAUGUCCAAGACAUCACAAAAAAUAUCCUUAAGGUGAUGCCUGAGAUUGUUUUUGACAGAAGAUCUGCUCUUCAUGUAAAUGGUGUUUAUUCAGAGCACACAGAGAUAGCACUGACCCAUCACAAAAUCUCACUGCACUUUCCCCCUGAAGAAUGUAAAACCUCACACUCCGGCAUGGUCAGAAAUCAGAUUUCCCCCUUUUGUAGACAUUUAUUGUGGAAUUGUAAAGCAGUUUUUAUUACAGAGCACAGGAUGAAAUAGCAGGGUAUAAACUAAGCUGCAUCCAUAAUAAUCCCAUCCUUCCAAAAACACAUCACUUUGGGAAGCCCUGUGCGUUUGUAAAGAGUACCUGGGAGAUGGUCACACAUCUCCAUGUAAACAUCCAACCCCUCUGAAGAUUCCUUGUGUGUUCUAUCAUUUUCAGCAAGUCUGAAAGAACAUAAUUUAGAACACAAUCCCUUUCUUGAUAUACAGCCAAGCCCCAUGUUUUAGGCUGAAAGAUAAACAGUUUAAUAAAAUAAUAUUACUUAAUAAAUUAGUAUGUUCAGCUCCUUUCUGGACUUCUCUCUGAAAGAAAUAAUUAAUCACCCUCUAAAUCCCUAAUAGCCCCAUAAUCUCUGAAUAUAAAAAUUCAAAUGCAAGAAGGCAGAAACUGCUGAUGGAGCCAGCAGGAUGGAAGGAGAGAGGCUCUUUUUAACCCUUCUCAAAGACUCUAAACCAGUGCAAUGACUGAAGUGUUCAUCCCAAGAGCUAAAUAAACUCAAAUGUUGCCGUUGAACACUUCUGCUGGCAAAUUAAGCCCUGCAGGGGCAUCCCAGGUGUCAUCCUGCUGGAAGAAAAGCCCAAGACACACCCAGAGAACCAAAAUGCUUCUACGAAAGUGAGAGGAAGAGGAAAGAUUACUGAGCAGCCUUCACAAACACAGAACUUCCCUGCAGCUCUUGUCAAACUUGGUGCAGGUUUGUAAAUGACACACCUUGGCUGACAGGAGCCAACAGGAAUGUCAAAGGAAAUGAAGUUUUGGCUUAUUAAUUCUUCCUGAAAGUGGUCCACUUUCAACUGCAAGAGACCCCCAAGUUAAUCAGACAUUUAAUAGGUAUCUGCAAAGCCAAGGCUGAAGUAAUUUCUGUAGCACAAACUCAUAAAUUUAAUUUUAUAUCCAUUCUGAUUCAUUGCAAUACAUUGUAAACCAGAGCAAUUAUUAAAAGCCUCUUCCCACCAGGUGUAAAAAACUCUUAUUUUGUGUACACCCAAACAUGGAACAUGCAGCCAGUCACAGACACAGAGGUCAUUCACCCCUCAUGGAAAUUACAGCAAAAAUGGAUGAUCAGCAGCUGGAAUAGAAGACAUAACAUUUCCAACAGAAUAUAUUUAGUGCAAACAGAAAAGCCAAAAAGUGAUUACAUUAUUUUUUUGUAAGUCCACCCAUCUCCUCCUGGGAGGAAUACUUCCAAGAAGAAUCCGCACUGUGGGUGUACAAGAACCACUUAUGUGUUUUGUGUGAAAAUGCUGAAUUUACCUACAAGGCCUGUCAAUGGAAUGAAAUUACUACAAAAACCUGCGAUAUUUAACUGAGAUGGAACAAACAUUCCCCUGGUGUAGUCAUCUGCAAUAACCAUGAAACAAAUCUGGAUCAUAUCUGUGCAUUUAUGGAAUAUCUCUUUUUUAUUGCAAAUCUGUCUCAAGCAGGGCAGCAGCUCUGUUUCCAUUCAUCCUUUUGAAAGAUGCAGUGACAAGAAUUCCAAACAUCACUCAUGGCCAAACACUGCAUUUGGAUUUCGUGGAACUAAGAAAUGAAAAAGAAUGUUCCUUUUCUCCAAGAGAACUGUCUCCAAUUCUGUGUGAUGCAUUAAAAAAAUCAGAUGAGAACCCCAAGAGUUGACAUAAGGAUAUGAUAAAACUUUUAGGUUUUGUGGAAAGAAACAUUUUUCAGUUUCCUCUUAAUAAAUGAAAAACACACAUGCACAGUGUGAAGAAAUAUAUUAUGCCUAAGCAUGUAAAAUAUGUCAGCUUGAACAUUUUACAGUUUAAUGAAAAAUGCUUUUUUCAGGACAGUUUGUAUUACAUUUGCCAGAGAAGAAAUAAAAAUCUUUUAUUUUCUCCAUGUCACAGUCCAAAAAUUACCAUUUUUUCCCUAGCUGUAAAACCCCAGCAUUGGGAUAUUUAUGCAUUGUGAAUUAGAAGCAUUUUUUACCGGCUAUCAAAAUUUUAAUAGCAUUAGCUCUGCUUGUAACACAUUUUCAUUAAAAUGAGAAUGUGGAAAGCAGUAAAAUGAAUACAGACCCUCAUCAGUAGCAAUGAGGCUUUAUGGUGCUCACGGGAUCAGCUGUGUUAUAUUUGUUACAGAUCAUGAUCAGACAACAGGACAAACCUCUUCUUUUUCACUGACAUCAACAUAAAUGGUGCUAUUGAAUGGAUUUAAUAUGUAGAAGUUAUAAGUAAUUCUUUAACUUUCAUUUUAUUGAGCCUGGUGCUUCCUGCCUUAGGCUUGUACUUGAUCUUUGGUGUCCAUAUAAUUCCCAUUUAGUGCAGAUAUAGAGGUAAGCUGGGACUAAGGAGUGCCAAUUUUGGGGAGAAUUUAAUUUAACUCUUGGUUAACACCUGGAGAAAGCGUGGCAGCAGCACAUUUCUCAUGAAGGGAGGAAACAGCAGUGCACUCUUGGCCUCUCUCAAAACAGAAACAAGCACAUUUCAACUUUGAACCUUGAGGCCCAAAAAUGCCAGAAUGCAGCAACAACUCAUUUAUUAACUAAUUACAGGUUUAAAUUAACAUCAGCAUCCUGCUUUGUGUCUCCUGCCACCACAGUUCCAAGGAAGUGAUUCCUGGUUAUCAGUGAUGUAAAUGAGAAGUCAAUCAGCUUCCAGAUUUACAGAUUGUUCCAGUAAUAGCCUCAAAAACCCCCAAAGCACCUGAGGCCUGAGCAGCUCUGGCAGUUUUGCUGCAUAUAUUUAGGAGCACCACUAAAGCACUUGUACAAAAGGGCGUAAUGUCCAUAGCUGGAAAUAAAUAUUAUUGCUUUUCACUUUCCCUGGUGUGGAAAAGCAAAGGUGACUACAGGCACAGAGUGAGCACCUCCAGUAUUUCAGUCGAUUCACUUUGAUUUCCCUUACAAAAAUAAAGGUGUGAAAUCAAAGAGCUCCCCUGUAAGUUUUCUCUGGGAAGGCUCUGGAUCAUUGAUCCAUCAGUGCAGGAUAAUGAGGACAAGCCAUGACUUUGAAAACCUUUUGAUGUCCUCACUCCUGGGCAGAAUGAACAAAGGUGAGGGAGCUUGGCUCCAUCACAAGCUCUUGGGAUUCCGCAGGACAGCUACAAUAAAACCUAGAUUAGUUUGAACAUGUUGGUGAUGUCCUGGGAAACUCAUCCCAAGGGUGGGCAAAGGGAAGGGACAGCCAAAGAGGAGCAGACUCACUCAGGGCUCUGAGUACUUGAUCUCAAAACCUGACAGCAAAAAUGCUGUUGCAGAAACUGAUUCUUUGCCAUCCACACAACACAAGAAAAUAAGGAGAAAAAAAGAUUCAACCCUGGAUCUAUUUUAAUCCUUAAAUUUGUGCUACAGGGCUUCCCCUUUGGCAGAGGACUAAUCCUACCAAAUGACAGCCAGUCAGUCAUUUCACUUCUCUUUAUUCCUUUUAUUCCUCUGCUUUUUCUUGACUUUUACACAUUUUAUUUUCUGCUUCCUAAAGGCUUUUAGUUUUAUUUCUUUUUUUUUAAUCAUGGUCCUGGAUGUCUCCACAAGUACAGGGAUUAGAGACAGGAAGUUAAUUUCCCUUGCUCGUUCUUUUGUAAUAAUUUAUUCCAAAAUUAAUUACCCAGGAUAUAUUAGAUUUGGACAAGAUUUUGGACUUAGACCUAGAAAUCAGAAAGUUUAUAAUUUUUAUACUCUAAGCCCUGUGCAGCCUAGCCUUGGACAUUUCCAGGGAUCCAGGGCCUUACAGCCAGGAAUUCCU